UGAGGUCCCCCCUGAGCAUCCUCUUCUGCAGGCUGCAUACCCCCAGCUCCCUCAGCCUCUCCUCAUAGGCUUUGUGUUCCAGGCCCUUCACCAGUCCUGUUGCCCUUCUCUGGACACCUUCCAGAAAGUCAGCCAGCUCCUACAGUCAACAGUAUGGUCUCUAUGACACUGGAAGUGAAAAUCACCAACUUGACAUCAGCCUCAAGGUGACUGUUACUGCUUUAGGAAGCUGGAAGUACAGUUCAGCCUUGAUGUUAUACAAAGAUGACAAACUCAGGCUGAGUGGAUGAAAGGACAACGCAGACACAAUUAGCCAGACAUCACAAAAAGGAGGGGGGAGUCACUUCUUAUGGCUACUUUACGUUUCAGAACAAUGCAAUAACAGAAGCCAUGCAGUAUUUACCCUGGGUUUAUUCUCUGCAAGCCCUCUGGGGGCUGCUUUUGUUUGUCUUUAUUUAAUUGGCAUGGUUGGGUGGCCACCAGCAGGUCCAAUUAAACAGAU